rnacentral:rRNA from 1 species
UACGUAGGGUGCGAGCGUUGUCCGGAAUUAUUGGGCGUAAAGAGCUUGUAGGCGGUCUGUCGCGUCUGCUAUGAAAAUCCGGGGCUCAACCCCGGACUUGCAGUGGGUACGGGCAGACUAGAGUGUGGUAGGGGAGACUGGAAUUCCUGGUGUAGCGGUGAAAUGCGCAGAUAUCAGGAGGAACACCGAUGGCGAAGGCAGGUCUCUGGGCCACUACUGACGCUGAGAAGCGAAAGCAUGGGGAGCGAACAGG